UGAGGGGGCAGUGGGAGGUGACCAGGCAUCUCUGUAUUUCAUGUUGGACCAGCUUCUACCAUUUACCACGUGAGCUGGGGACAGUUACUUUCUCCAACUCUCAGUUUCUUUAUCUGUGAGGUAGGGAGAGACCUCAUGGUGCCCUUGUCAAGACCAAAUGAGGAUGGGUGUACAAUGUUAGUAAGCAGUCCUGAUAUCUGUGGUGUGAUUGCUGACCGGCAAGUGAGUAAUUUGUCUUGGAAGGAAAGGAGUGGUCCCAAUGGGAGGGCUUCCUGGAGGCAACAGAUCCCAGCCCCCGGGCCCCAUACUGGCUCGGACACCACCAGUGCCCUAGGCCAGGUCCCCAGUGGUCGCUGGUUAGACUGAAGUCACAGCCCCUGGAGUGGCCCCCAUCCCUGCCCCAAACUGGUAGGGCUAGUGGGAAGCCCCCUGUAACAAAACCUAAAAUCACAGCAGCGCUAACUGGGUUUUACGUAGCAUUUGCUUCUAAGUACUUGUUUCUCAGAAGGAGGAGGGGUGCUGGCGGUGCAAUGCCAGCAGUUCAUGUUUAAACCCUUCCUGCCCUCCCCUCCUGCUUCCCCUUAGGAUUGAGUGUGGAGGAGGGGGAGGGGAAGGCUCAGGAAGCCCAGUGCUCCUGCAGGAGCACUCCAACCUGCUUCACCUCUCCCCCUCCUCCCCUGCUUCUUCUACUGAUGCAUUUAUUCACUGGAUCAUUCAUCAUUCAUGUGUUCCUUCAUUUGUCCCUCUGCCCUCCCAUCAGCCCCUCAGCGUUCACUGAACACAAACUGAUGUCAGAACAAGUUCUAGCUCCUGUGUCAUGGAAUCGCCAAGUGCAUCUGUGGUUCCCAUGCUGCCAUCUGUUCAAGGUCCUGGAGACUUGCACGUCAGCCUCUGGAGGCAGGCAGACCAGGGAAACUCCUUGGAUUCCUCUGCUGGACUCUGCUCAUCUGUUAGGAUGGUCUUCCAGUUUGGCACCUCCACUCCUAACCCGGAUGCAUUGCCUCUUUUUGGAGUCAUGGGCACCCACCACUCACCCCUUUGAUGUCUGUCAAUCUUAGGCUUGGCUUUGGCUCCUUCAGCCCUUACUGGGUGAGGGUCUCAGGCAAGUCUGCCCUUCUGUUUCCUUAUUGCAUAGUAGGGAUGACAAUGCUUGCUUCUACAGGGUGUGUGUGUGUGUGGGGGCACUGGUAGAGGUGGUGGAAAUUCAGCAAGGUAACGCCAAUACAGUGCUGGGUACAUUGAUCAACCUGGGGCCCACCCGUGAUCGCAUAAGCCUGGGAGCCACUCAUGGGUCCUUUCCCUUUGGGAGCCACUCAGAGCCAUGGACAGAGGGAGGGGCUGCUGUAAUUAGCAGACCAGCAACCACUGCUGUAGGAAAUUCUAGUCCCUGGCAGAGGCCGAUUUGUAGGGAGCUCUUUAGAUUCCAAUUCGAACCUUCUCCUGCCGUGUAAGCCCCUUAUCCUUAGCUUGGUGCUCUCUCAUGCUGUGCUGAGAUCAUGCAAAAUUAUUCAACUAAAAUCAUCCAGCAGGAAAAGCAACCGAGCAAUCACAGUUCACUGCUGAGAAGCCAUGGCCUUAACCCAGGCUGGGCAGCAGGAGCUCAGCAGGGCUGAGAGGCCAGCUUGUUUCAGUGUUUUCCAGAGAUGGGAAUGCAGGCCCCGCUGGGCUCCUCUCCUCCAGCAGGUGCUUAGCAGCGAGCCCCAGGACUGAGUGGCCAGAGAGUCUGGAUCCACUUCAGCAUCAGGCAUUAUGGGUGACCCCAGGCUUUCCUGAGCCCCUGCUCUGCCAGUUGGAGUUGCUGGUAUGAGCUAAGGAGUUUGGAGUUCACAGCCAUUGCUCCUGGGCCCAGAGUAGCAUGUCCCCUCUUGGAGUCUUGAGGGCAAUGGGGAAAAGAGAUAGAGGAAGAAAUGAGGGUUAAGAAUAAGAGCAGGAAGAGAGAGGAAGAGGACAGGUACAGGAGGAUAUCCAGGAAUAUUGUCCGUGGGAGUACAUUUAGGCAUAUCUGGGUGCUGGGCCUUGCUUAUAGGGUACUGUGUAUCUCUCCAUCCAUACCUGGAGUGCUGUGGAGACC
rnacentral:lncRNA from 1 species